GACGAACGCUGGCGGCGUGCCUAAUACAUGCAAGUCGAACGCACAGAUUAUACCGUCGCUUGCUUCACGCUAGACUGGGAGUUGCGAACGGGAGAGUAAUGCGUAGGUAACCUGCCUGGUAUCGGGGGAUGACUACUGGUAACGCUAGCUAAUACCGCAUAAAAUUGAUUAUUGCAUGGUCAUUGAUUGAUAGAUUCUAUCUCAUCACUACCAGCUGGUCCUGCGUUGUAUUAGCUAGUAGGUGGGGUAACGGCUUACCUAGGCGACGAUACGUAGCCGACCUGAGAGGGUGAUCAGCCACACUGGAACUGAGACACGGCCCAGACUCCUACGGGAGGCAGCAGUAGGGAAUCUUCGGCAAUGGGCGAAAGCCUGACCCAGCAACGCCGCGUGAGUGAAGAAGGUUUUCGGAUCGUAAAGCUCUUUUAUAGGGGAAGAACGGGUGUGAGAGUAGAAAUUCCCGUCUUGACGGUACCUAAACAAAAAGGGACGGCUAACUUCGUG
rnacentral:rRNA from 1 species